rnacentral:rRNA from 1 species
CUUUUUGAUUUUAAUUUAAAGUUUAACCUGCCCAUUGAAAAUUUUUAAAAGGCUGCGGUAUUUUGACUGUACAAAGGUAGCAUAAUCAUUAGUUUUUUAAUUGAAAACUUGUAUGAAUGGUUGGAUGAGAAAUUAACUUUUUUAAAAAAAUAAUUGAAUUUUACUUUUUAAUUAAAAGGUUAAAAUAAAUUUAAAAGACGAGAAGACCCUAUAGAGUUUUAUAAUUUAUAUUUAAUAUUUAAAAAGAUUAAUUAAAAUUUUAUAAAAGAAAAUAUUUUGUUGGGGUGAUAAUAAAAUUUAAAUAACUUUUAUUUUUUUUUACAUUAAUAUAUGAAUUUAUGAUCCAUUAUUGAUGAUUAGAAAUUUAAAUUACCUUAGGGAUAACAGCGUAAUUUUUUUUAAAGUUCAUAUUAAUAAAAAAUUUUGCGACCUCGAUKUUGGAUUAAGAUUUAAUUUUAGGUGCAGCAGUUUAAAUUUUAAGUCUGUUCGACUUUUAAAUUCUU